GCAUAUCAUAAGCGGAGGAAAAGAAACUAACAAGGAUUCCCCUAGUAACGGCGAGUGAAGCGGGAAGAGCUCAAAUUUGAAAUCUGGCGGUCUCAGGCCGUCCGAGUUGUAAUCUAGAGAGGUGUUUUCUGUGCCGGACCGCGUACAAGUCCCUUGGAACAGGGCGUCAUAGAGGGUGAGAAUCCCGUCCGUGACGCGGACUGCCGGUGCUCUGUGAUACACCUUCAAAGAGUCGAGUUGUUUGGGAAUGCAGCUCAAAAUGGGUGGUAAAUUCCAUCUAAAGCUAAAUACAGGCGAGAGACCGAUAGCGAACAAGUACCGUGAGGGAAAGAUGAAAAGAACUUUGGAAAGAGAGUUAAACAGUACGUGAAAUUGUUGAAAGGGAAACGCUUGAAGUCAGUCGCGUCUGCCGGGACUCAGCCUUGCUUCUGCUUGGUGCAAUUCUUGGUAGAUGGGCCAGCAUCGAUUUUGGUCGCCGGAAAAGGGUGAGAGGAAUGUGGCAGCUUGCUGUGUUAUAGCCUCUUGUCGUACACGGUGACUGGGAUCGAGGACUGCAGCACGCCUCGGGGUUCGCCCACGCUACGUGCUUAGGAUGCUGGCGUAAUGGCUUUAAGCGACCCGUCUUGAAACACGGACCAAGGAGUCUAACAUGCCCGCGAGUGUUUGGGUGUCAAACCCAGGCGCGUAAUGAAAGUGAAAAGUUGGGACCCUUUAGUGGGGCACCGACGCCCGAUCCUGACGUUCUCUGACGGAUUUGAGGCAGAGCGUGUAUGUUGGGACCCGAAAGAUGGUGAACUAUGCCUGAAUAGGGUGAAGCCAGAGGAAACUCUGGUGGAGGCUCGUAGCGAUUCUGACGUGCAAAUCGAUCGUCAAAUUUGGGUAUAGGGGCGAAAGACUAAUCGAA
rnacentral:rRNA from 1 species